rnacentral:rRNA from 1 species
AACGAACGCUGGCGGCAUGCCUAACACAUGCAAGUCGAACGAAACCUUCGGGUCUUGUGGCGCCCGGGUGCGUAACGCGUGGGAACCUGCCCUUAGGUUUGGCCUACCUCCCCGACAGGGGUGCUAAUACCGGAUAAUGUCUACUGACCAAAGAUUUAUUGCCUUUGGAUGGGCCCGCGUUGGAUUAGGUAGUUGUGAGGGUAAAAGCAUACCACGGCGCCGAUUCAUAGCUGGGUAGAGAGGCAGAUCAGCGACACUGGGAGUGAGACGCGGCCGAGAAUCUUACGGGAGGGGGGAGUGGGGAAUAGAGGAAAACGGGGGAAGGGCUGAACCAGCAAGGAUGGGUGAGUGAUGAAGGCAUGAGAGUUGUAAAGCGCUUUUAACCGGGAUGAUAAUGACAGUACCGGGAGAAUAAGCUCCGGCUAACUACGUG